GGUGCCAUGUUUUAAUGGUUAGCACUCUGGACUUGAAUCCAGUUAUAUCAGUUCAAAUUUGGUGGAACCU